ensembl:lncRNA
AGAGGGGCAGAGGAGGCUUGGGGUGAGAAAGAAUGGGAAGGGGUGUCGGGAAAGAGAAGCGGGGGUGAGGGUCAGAGGGUGGGAGAUUAGGAAAGGGGAGGGGAAGGGGAGAACGAGAGGGAAAAGGGGGGGAUCAAUCCCUGUGCAGGAGCAUCCUGCCGUUCUUGAGAUUAAAAUCUGAGACAGCUCCGGCAUCAGGCAGCGAGAGAGCAGCAUCGAACGCUGUGUUCCGAGAUAUCAUGUAGCAAGCAUCCUGGAUAGAAUAGAGUACUGCUGGCUUUGAAGAAGCUAGGGGAGGGAGAUGGCAAGAAGUGGGAGGGAGAGAGCGAAAGAGAGUGAGCGAGCUAGAUAGAGGGAGAAAGAAAGAGAUCUUAGCAGAAAGAUUAGGGUGGUUUAGCAAGGGUAAAUAUAAACUAUAGCGAAGCAGGAAUAGAGAGAAACUGGGGGCACAGACAGGGGGAGGGGGGCUAAGGAGGGGGCUCUGUCCGCCGGGUUAACCCACAGUCGAUCUUGGGGGAUUGACUGAGGAGGACGCCUGGGUCUCUGAAACAAAAGGAUACACGCCGGGUGUGAAAAUGGAGGUGGAGUAUGGUAACUAGAGAAUGAUGGGACGGGGCUUGAAGAUCUUUAUAUCGGCUGCCAGACGGAGGGAGAUGCUGGAGUGUAUUUGGGAUGGUGUCAGCACGAACUGAAUGUUUUCUGCAAUGUCACAGUAACCUCGUCGGUUGUACAGAUCACAUUGACCCCUUCUCCUGGAGUAUGAAAAUAUUUGGCAAUGGUCCCCAGAACCUCAAAAAGUUCUACAGCUGCACCAUCGAGAGCAUUACUGGUUGCAUCACUGCCUGGUAUGGCAACAGCUCGGCAUCUGACCGUAAGGCACUAUGGAGGGUAGUGCAUACGGCCCAGUACAUCACUGGGGUCAAGCUUCCUGCCAUCCAGGACCUCUAUACCAGGCGGUGUCAGAGGAAGGCCCCAAGAAUUGUUAAAGACUCCAGUCACCAAAGUCAUAGACUGUUCUCUCUGCUACUGCACAGAAAACAGUACCAGAGCGCCAAGUCUAGGACCAAAAGCCCCCCCCCCCAAUUUGUUUUUACACUGCUGCUACUCACUGUUUAUUAUCUGCAUAGUCACUUAACCCCUACCUACAUGUACAAAUUACCUCAACUAACCUGUACCCCCACACAUUGACUCGGUACCGGUACCCCCUUUAUAUAGUCUCAUUAUUUUAUUGUGCUACUUUUAAUUAUUUAUUUGUUAAAUAUUUUCUUAAUUCUUUCUUGAACUGCAUUGUUGAUUAAGUUAAGGGCUUGUAAGUAAGCAUUUCACUGUAAGGUGAAUGAAUACCUGUUGUAUUCGGCACAUAAAUAAAGUUUGAUUUGAUUUCAUGUGAUGGCUUACUUUGCAUGACAGUGUUUCUAGGGAUGCUUGUUGUGCUGGGUGGGUGUGUGGCAGGCAAUCACCUUUAUGCAUCUUUUUAUGAUGGUAGUAUACUUCAAUCAGAGUCCCUGUAGCUCCUUUAACCUGCAUGAGUUAUCCUUCAUUCCUUCAAACAAUGGGAAAUAGACAGAAUUGGAGAGAAAACCCAAGGACAGUUCUACUCCCAUUGUCCUCUGGAUCGGUGGGCCUCACGCCUGGCAUGAAAAGGAACAGGAAGUCUACAUCUGAUUAAAUCUAAGAGGUAUCGAAGGGUUUUAUGGAGAACAUUCAGUACAACUGUCGGUAUCUCAUUUCAACUCAAAACAUCAAGAGGUUGCAAUAACUUCUGGUAAUUAGUAACAUUAAAGCAAGGGUACUGUGGAUCAGUGACAUAACGUUUAAUGACACUGUGUCCAACUGGAAGGACAGACUGACUGACUGACCCCCCCCCCCCCCACCCCCCCAACAGCAAUCCUGGAGGCCCAAGCUUUAGCUGUAUCAAUUUCCGAAUUUGACUGCCCCCAGAAGUCUCACCUGGAGAGUGCUUGUUCCAGACGGGGCCACUCUAAAGACAGGACUUCUAACAGCUCUAUGGCCUCUGUCUUCCUGUUUUGACAACCCCAAGACAAAUCACUGCUAUUAAACCAGUUAAAAGUCAGAUCCUCCAUGUCAAAGCCGCUACAUUUGAGGUCAAGAGUAUUAGUCAUCAGCCAACCCAUCCAUCCGUCAAGCCCUAUCUCUAUACAUGCACGUAUUUCAACAAGCUUGACUAUUACUUAAGCUGCAUUCAUGUAUAUUUCAUUAAAUGAGCCCUGAGUUAAGUGUCAUACUAUCUCUACAUUUUCCUGUUCAUCCAAGCGCACAAAAUGGAAAAGGAAAGAACAUUUCAAAGGAGAAACUAUUAAGGGAUGCAAACAUGGCAUUGGCAACCAUUUUACAAGGCACACGGCUUCACACGGCUUUACACGCACACACACACACACACACACACACACACACACACACACACACACACACACACACACACACACACACACACACACACACACACACACACCCACGGAGACAGACAGAAAUACAGAGAGAGAGAGAGAGAGAGAGAGAGAGAUAGAGAGAUAGAAAGAAAGAAAGAAACAGAUAUAGAGAGAGAGAGAGAGAGGAAGAGAGAGCGAGACAAACACACACACAUCGACAUUGCUGAUGUGUGCCACUACCUGACAAAAGGGUCAAGAGGUCCAGCUGAGAGAUGGCUUAAAAUGAUGACAUCGUUAUCAUUAUGCCACCAGUGAUGCAGGCAGAGGGCACGCAGGGUAGCACUGCAGGGUGGAGGGACAGAAAUAACAGCACUCUGUAAACAUCAUCAUCCCCUCCAGCAACACAGUCACAGAGCGCCCUGCCACUCUGUCUCACUGUGACCAUCCCCAUCAGAACACAUAGCUCUUCAGCAUUACAAUGGACAUGUGACCUGUAAGAAUACAAGAGUUGUUAUUUUUCAACACAAAUACGUGCUCCUGUUUCAGAUCUCUGUGAACAAAACAUUAGAGAGGGAUCAGUAGAACCUAUCUAUCUAGAACCUAAAAGGGUUCUUCGAGUGUUCCCAUAGGAGAACCCUUUGAAGAACCCUUUUUUGGUUCCACGUAGAACCCUAUUGGGUUCCAUGUAGAAUCCUUACCCAGACGGUUCUAAAUGGAACCCAAAAUACUUCAACCUGGAACCAAAAAGGGUUCUUCUUUGGGACAGCCGAAGAACCCUUUUGGAACCCUUUUUGUAAGAGUGUAUAUCUCACUCAGAUAGAAUAUAUCAAUCCCCUUAUCAAAGGCACAUUAACUUUGAAGCAGCUAAUGAAAAAACAUGUUCUCGACCAUGGCAAGUUGAAGCAGGAAGAUAGUUGCUACGGAGAUAAGUCCUCUGAGCGCGAGGUGUGACCUACACGUCACUGAUUUAUUCCUCCCUCUAUCCCCAUUCCCCUCAAUACCUCUUUCACCAGCGUCACAGGUCAUGUGACUAGGGUACAACACCAGCCACACUCCGUCACUGCCUGCUGUCAAAGAGGACAAAGACAGUGACAUUGCUUUUUUUCAAAGUCAUCCCUUCACAUACGACGAGUGGGAGAAAAUAUUUCUGAGUGACACCAAAGACAUCUACCUCCUGUUCGCAGCAAGUCAGCAAGUGUAAGAACGUUCUGUUAGCACAUGCCAUGGCCAGCAUCCUUCCACACACACACAUAUACACACACACAAACACAGAAAGACACUUGUGAAGAAACGUUAUGACAUUUGAGCUGUGUAAGGCAUGUCACAACUUCCCCAAGCGGGUCUGAAAGCCACAUCUGAGCAGGUGAUGGAUAUACUCAGUCCAGGGUGACAUUCAGAGAGUCUGUCCCUGUGAGUGAAUUAAAAACGCACCCACACACACAUACUAUAAUAACUUGCACACAACCAUACAUAUUUGUCUUGCCUUUUACUCCGACCCACAAUCACAUCUUUAAGGUAGAAUAUCAGUGUGUCCAGGAAGUCUAACCCAGAAAUGCAUAAUAUUUCCCUCACAGUGUAACAGUAACUCGGUGACGUUAAAAAUAGGUUGAUGAGGUGAGGCAGGAGUUACUCAAUCAGUUAUCACAACUAGCAGAUAGCUGAUGUCUCCCACAUGAAAAAUACUGUUGUAUACUAUGGUAUUAAUAAUACAGUAUUAACUGUAUUGUUUUUGCGGAAUUUAAGUCAACAAACCAACCAUCUCAUCUGCCCUGGCAGUUAUCAAAGAAAGGUAGUUGUUUGUUGGCCGUUGACUAGUCAAGAUAGAGUCACAGGUUGACAGGCGCACUAUGCACACUUCCACAAGUGGCAAACAAUGUGACAGAGUUGAGGGCAAGUAAAGUUGUUCUCUCCUCCGUAUAGUACAGUAUGACUUUGCACUGUAUUCAGGGUUCCUGUAGGGCAGUGGUUCCCAAACUUGUUAUUGUCCCGUACCCCUUCAAACAUUCAACCUCCAGCUGCGUACCCCCUCUAGUACCAGGGUCAGCGCACUCUCAAAUGUUGUUUUUUACCAUCCUUGUAAGCCAGCCACACACACACUAUACCAGGGCUGCCCAACCUUCUUCCUGGAGAUCUACUGUCCUGUAGGUUUUCAGUCCAACCCUAAUUUACCAUAUCUGAUUCAGUUGGUUAAGGUCUUGUUGAGAAGCUAAUAAGUAAAAUCAGGUGUGUAAAAAUUAGGGUUGGACUGAAAACCUACAGUGUGAGUUUUUGUCACAACCCAGCUCGUGGAAGUGACAAAGAGCUCUUAUAGGACCAGGACACAAAUAAUAAAAUAAUAAUAAUCAAUAAUUUUGCUCUUUAUUUAACCAUCUUACAUAUAAAACCUUAUUUGUUCAUCGAAAAUGGUGAAUAACUCACCACAGGUUAAUGAGAAGGGUCUGCUUGAAAGGAUGCACACACCUCUGCAAUGUUGGGUUGUAUUGGAGAGAGUCUAAGUCGUAAAUCAUUUUCCACACACAGUCUGUGCCUGUAUUUAGUUUUCAUGCUAGUGAGGGCCGAAAAUCCACUCUCACAUACAGUGCCUUGCGAAAGUAUUCGGCCCCCUUGAACUUUGCGACCUUUUGCCAUAUUUCAGGCUUCAAACAUAAAGAUAUAAAACUGUAUUUUUUUUGUGAAGAAUCAACAACAAGUGGGACACAAUCAUGAAGUGGAACGACAUUUAUUGGAUAUUUCAAACUUUUUUAACAAAGCAAAAACUGAAAAAUUGGGCGUGCAAAAUUAUUCAGCCCCUUCGGUUCAGUGAGGAUCUCUGAAUGAUCCAAUGUUGACCUAAAUGACUAAUGAUGAUUAAUACAAUCCACCUGUGUGUAAUCAAGUCUCCGUAUAAAUGCACCUGCACUGUGAUAGUCUCAGAGGUCCG